GUGGAAAGGACGAAACACCGCCGCCCACGCGAGAUGAGGAGUUUUAGAGCUAGGCCAACAUGAGGAUCACCCAUGUCUGCAGGGCCUAGCAAGUUAAAAUAAGGCUAGUCCGUUAUCAACUUGGCCAACAUGAGGAUCACCCAUGUCUGCAGGGCCAAGUGGCACCGAGUCGGUGCUUUUUU
rnacentral:misc_RNA from 1 species